rnacentral:tRNA from 1 species
GGGGGCUUGGCUCAGAUGGGAGAGCGCCUGCUUUGCACGCAGGAGGUCAGCGGUUCGAUCCCGCUAGUCUCCACCA